ACUAUUCUCUCCACUUCAGGGACUUGGUUUGGAGAACUUUUCUACUCUUCUUUCUUUAUUCAUAGCUUUUUUUACAACUAUUUUUCUCAACCUUGUUAACCUUUCUGUUUGAAGUGGAGAAAUUAAAGAUGAUUGCCUCUGUGCUGGGGAUUAAUUUGGCAAUGUGAAUUUAUAUUUGAACACCUCUGCACAUGUACACACACACACUUCUCGAUUAUUCUUUGCAAGCUUGGACAAGAUAACGGUAAAUCAUCCUUAGGAUAUAAUUGGUCUUUUUAUUUUUUUUAUUUUUGUUAUUAUAUGCAUAUGUAUUUGUUCCCAAAUAAUUGUUCUUUGAUCAUGGUUUUGUUUGGCAAUGUGAAUUAAAGAUGAUUGCCUCUAUGCUGGGAUUAAUUUGGCAAUGUG
rnacentral:lncRNA from 1 species